rnacentral:rRNA from 1 species
UACGUAGGGGGCAAGCGUUGUCCGGAUUUAUUGGGCGUAAAGAGCGUGUAGGCGGCCUGACAGGUCAGCUGUGAAAACUCGAGGCUCAACCUCGAGACGUCGGUUGAAACCAUCUGGCUAGAGUCCGGAAGAGGAGUGUGGAAUUCCCGGUGUAGCGGUGAAAUGCGCAGAUAUCGGGAAGAACACCCGUGGCGAAGGCGGCACUCUGGGACGGUACUGACGCUGAGACGCGAAAGCGUGGGGAGUGAACAGG